AGCAGCCGCGGUAAUUCCAGCUCCAAUAGCGUAUAUUAAAGUUGUUGCAGUUAAAAAGCUCGUAGUUGAAUUUCGGGACCAUCAUGUCGGUCGUGCCUCGGUACGUACUGGCAUUGUUGGUUUCUCCCUUCUGACGAACCAUGAUGUCAUUUAUUUGGUGUUGUGGGGAAUCAGGACUGUUACUUUGAAAAAAUUAGAGUGUUUAAAGCAGGCUCACGCUUGAAUACAUUAGCAUGGAAUAAUGAAAUAGGACGUUUGAUUCUAUUUUGUUGGUUUCUAGGAUCGACGUAAUGAUUAAUAGGGAUAGUUGGGGGCAUUAGUAUUCAAUUGUCAGAGGUGAAAUUCUUGGAUUUAUUGAAGACUAACUACUGCGAAAGCAUUUGCCAAGGAUGUUUUCGUUAAUCAAGAACGAAAGUUAGGGGAUCGAAGACGAUCAGAUACCGUCGUAGUCUUAACCAUAAACUAUGCCGACUAGGGAUCGGAUGAUGUUAAUUUUUUAAUGACUCAUUCGGCGCCUUACG
rnacentral:rRNA from 1 species